rnacentral:rRNA from 1 species
UACGGAGGGUGCGAGCGUUGUCCGGAAUUAUUGGGCGUAGAGAGCUUGUAGGCGGUCUGUCGCGUCUGCUGUGAAAAUCCGGGGCUCAACCCCGGACUUGCAGUGGGUACGGGCAGACUAGAGUGUGGUAGGGGAGACUGGAAUUCCUGGUGUAGCGGUGAAAUGCGCAGAUAUCAGGAGGAACACCGAUGGCGAAGGCAGAUCUCUGGGCCGUAACUGACGCUGAGGAGCGAAAGCGUGGGGAGCGAACAGG